UACAGAGGGUGCGAGCGUUGUUCGGAAUUAUUGGGCGUAAAGCGCUUGUAGGCUGCCUGUCAAGUCGCGUGUGAAAUCCCCUGGCUUAACCAGGGAAGUGCGCGCGAAACUGAAGGGCUUGAGUGCCGGAGAGGGUCGCGGAAUUCCCGGUGUAGAGGUGAAAUUCGUAGAUAUCGGGAGGAACACCAGUGGCGAAGGCGGCGACCUGGACGGACACUGACGCUGAGACGCGAAAGCGUGGGGAGCAAACAGG
rnacentral:rRNA from 1 species